UACAGAGGGGGCAAGCGUUGUUCGGAAUUACUGGGCGUAAAGGGCGCGUAGGCGGCCUGUUAAGUCGAACGUGAAAUCCCCGGGCUCAACCCGGGAACUGCGUCCGAUACUGGCAGGCUUGAAUUCGGGAGAGGGAUGCGGAAUUCCAGGUGUAGCGGUGAAAUGCGUAGAUAUCUGGAGGAACACCGGUGGCGAAGGCGGCAUCCUGGACCGAGAUUGACGCUGAGGCGCGAAAGCCAGGGGAGCAAACAGG
rnacentral:rRNA from 1 species